UGCAUCAUUAUAGUUUACGUGUCUUCCAGAGGUAUCUUCAAUGGACACAUCAUUAGCUUCAUCUUUCAACUUUCUCCCUUCACCACUCUCUGCUUUGGUCGCUAAAAUCUCCUUUUGUUUCUCCCAUUCAUCUCAGUGUGAAGUUAAGGAUUUGCAGCUAUCUGUAUCAGAAUUUCAGCUACAUGUAUGUCUGUCGAACCGUGCAUUAGUUUUAUCUAUUUUUAUUGAGCUCGGUAAAGAAUGAUUUGAUUAAUUAAAGUGUCGAUACAAAUUUAUUCUAUUAUGUACAUUGAAUAAGCGACAAACAAUUUCUCCUGUCUUAGAGAUGUUUUUGUCAAGCAACAAGUGGGAUCACAGAAAAGGAAAAGAAGAAAAGAUAUCAAUACUGCAUAUUUAGA